UUCUGGGAGGAUUGACAGAUUGAGAUCUCUUUCUUGAUUCGGUGGUUGGUGGUGCAUGUCCGUUCUUAGUUGGUGCAGCCAUUUGUCUGGUUAAUUCCGAUAAGAAGCGAGACUCUAUCCUAUUAAAUAAGUGCGUGGUUCCGGGGCCGCACGCGCGCUACACUGAAGGAACCAGCGUGUUUUGAUCCCUGUCUGUUAAGACAGUAAGCUUAGAAAAAAGUGACUUGAGCAAAUACGGAGGGCUAAUUGAAGUCCAUCGGGUUACCCCCGAGUAAGUGUUCGUCUGUUUAAACAACAGGGCAUAGAAAAAUAAGUUUCCAUUAAGUUUCGCCAAAAUAUAAACAAUAAAUACUUCUUGGUAUCAUCAAGUCUACGACAUAACUUCCGCAAUACGCUGGAAGCCGCACACGAAAGGAGGGAACUUACGGACGCUAACCAUCCUCGUUCUCGGUUGUUAGCAAACAAACCUCGGCGCGUCGGCUACCUCGCUCGUGAGUCCUUCGGCUUCGCUCCUUGAUACGUGUCUGCUACUUGUUAGACAAAAACACAUCGCACCGCUCGAGUUAUUUCGUCUGUCCUCUCUGAAAGGCGAAGUCGAGCUCGCUCGUAAAGUAAGACAGCUGUUGAAUAGCAAACGUUGUUGCGACGGAGCAGACGACGCUCAGAUAGUGGGUCUCGGCGACCCACUAUCUUUCUACUCCAGCCAAUCAGAGCUCGGCGUUCAGACGUCACCGCAACCCCUGCGCAAGAAGCAGAGGAACUUGCCCUCCGCAUAAGGUGGGAACGCCGGACUUGUCGUCGCGGCGUGAAACUUCGAAGUUCAGAUCGCGCCAGGAACUGUUUUUUUUUUUUAUUUUUUUUAUUUGC
rnacentral:ncRNA from 1 species